rnacentral:lncRNA from 1 species
AGGAGAAGUGCUAACAAUUUAACUAUAAUAGUCAGAAAAUCUAGAACUAAUACCAAACCUAGACGUUGCAUCAGCCUCCAAUCAAGUCUCGCAGUGAGUGAACUCCCUUGGGGGAAGUUGAUGGGGUUCUCACCAUGAGCAAGACUCUACGAAUAUUGUCAUGUCAAAUGAAGCUUCUCGGCAAUUUCUCCUGACCUGAAACUGAUUUGACAUUUGUACAGUUGACUGUUAUCCAACAGAAUCUAAUGAUGUAAAAAUUUAUUAAGUCAAUUUAAUUAAUGUCAUCUAUUUGUUUAGUAUUGCAGACUUUUAAUAAGAUAGUGAAAUUAGAUAAGAAACUUCGCCACAGCAUACCAACUAAAUACAUACAAGCUUCACUCGCCUAGUUGAGCCGCAUGAAUUUGAGGCCUGCAGAAAUCAUGUGAUACUGUGAUAGCGAUGCACAAACUUGAUACCCCGUCCUUUAGUUGGCCACUAUUUUAUAUUCACUUCUUAUAUACUUAGUAUUUAAUAUCUAGUUCAGUAUGCACAUCAAGAUUUUGUACAUACUUAUAUCGGUACUACUCACACUUAAACUUAUUUUUGUACGCAAUUAUAUUUGUCCUGUUCACACUAAAAUUUGCACAAAGCCAU